UAUCAUUUGAGAUGUAAAUGAAUGGAGUGA
rnacentral:piRNA from 1 species